GGGAUUAGAUACCCCACUAUAAGGAACCAAAANUUNGUGAAGCACUAAAACCUCCAGGUUAAAANUUAAAGAGCAUGGCGGCAAGCUUAACUCUUCAGGGGAAUUUACCAGAUAAUUGACAACCCACAUGAAGCCCCUCUCCGUCUCAUAGUUUGUAUGCCGCCGUCUUCAGGUAAAACCCAAGGUCUUACCAAAAAUCUAACGGAUGAAAGACAGGUCAUGGUGCAGCUUAUGACUGUGUGCUUGGUGAGUUACAAUAGGAAAUUACUUCCGCUACAAACCCCAAAUCUGUUUGUAAAAGUAGGACUUGAAAGUAAUAAAUAAGCUAGUAUUUAAUGAAUUAACUCUGAGCUUGUGCACACNCCGCCCGUCNCCCUCC
rnacentral:rRNA from 1 species